rnacentral:lncRNA from 1 species
UGAGUAAGGAAGAAAGAUUUGAUACAUCCUUGAUACGCUUUGCUUGAUACAUUUAAAAGAACCUUCAAGAACACAUCUAAAACAAAUUAUAUUGGAAGAACUUGAGGAAAGAACUAAUUUAGAGUUUAAUAUACCUUAGAGUCAAGUUCUUUUAAUUGAAGCUUAACUCUGUCAUUUACAUGCUUAAUGAGCUUAAACUUUAAUGUGCCAAGCAUGAAGGGUUUAAGCAUGUUAUAAUGCGCAGCGGAAGCUAGGAAUUUUAAAAAUUUCUUGAUAAAGUUCCUUAACAUAAAACCCUUAUAAGCCAAGAUCACCUUAAUGGAAGCAAUCAAAUAAUAUAAUAUAAAUACAGAAAUAGAAGAAUACCUCAAACGCUAAUCCAAAGUGUACAAUCUCCACGAGGCGUCCAAGUGUCCGCCCUCCAAUGGUGAUCCACACGAAAACUUGAUCAAGACUUUAGCUCCAAAGACUUUUGAUCCUUAAUGCAGAAUUCUUCUAAAGAACUCUAAUGGCUUGCUUUCCUUCCUUUCUAUUUUCCUUUAGCAUUCUAAAAUCACUUCUAAU